rnacentral:misc_RNA from 1 species
GAUGAAGAACGCAGCGAAAUGCGAUAAGUAAUGUGAAUUGCAGAAUUCAGUGAAUCAUCGAAUCUUUGAACGCACAUUGCGCCCCCUGGUAUUCCUGGGGGCAUGCCUGUUCGAGCGUCAUUUCACCACUCAAGCCUCGCUUGGUAUUGGGCAACGCGGUCCGCCGCGUGCCUCAAAUCGACCGGCUGGGUCUUCUGUCCCCUAAGCGUUGUGGAAACUUUCGCUAAAGGGUGUUCGGGAGGCUACGCCGUACAACAACCCCAUUUCUAAGGUUGACCUCGGAUCAGGUAGGGAUACCCGCUGAACUUAAGCAUAUCAAUAAGCGGAGGA